UGCCAGCGAUUAGGUCGGGAACUCAAAGGAGACUGCCAGUGAUAAACUGGAGGAAGGUGGGGAUGACGUCAAGUCAUCAUGGCCCUUACGACCAGGGCUACACACGUGCUACAAUGGCGCAUACAAAGAGAAGCGACCUCGCGAGAGCAAGCGGACCUCAUAAAGUGCGUCGUAGUCCGGAUUGGAGUCUGCAACUCGACUCCAUGAAGUCGGAAUCGCUAGUAAUCGUGGAUCAGAAUGCCACGGUGAAUACGUUCCCGGGCCUUGUACACACCGCCCGUCACACCAUGGGAGUGGGUUGCAAAAGAAGUAGGUAGCUUAACCUUCGGGAGGGCGCUUACCACUUUGUGAUUCAUGACUGGGGUGAAGUCGUAACAAGGUAACCGUAGGGGAACCUGCGGUUGGAUCACCUCCUUACCUGAAAGAAGC
rnacentral:rRNA from 1 species